rnacentral:lncRNA from 1 species
UCCCAAGCUAAACUAGUCAAGAUGAUGAUCAAAGUAGCUCUUGUGCUCUGUGCUAUUGUGGCAACCAGUAUGGUGUGCGCCAAGGAUGUUGAACAGCAAGAUGCAGUGGACACCUUGCUGAAUCUGAUGCUCUCGGAGGAGGCUGCAUCUCCUGAUGACGCCGUAGCCUUGCAGCGCCAUCACCGUCAUCACCAUCAUGGCCAUCAUGGAAGGGACCAUGAGGCAACAUCCGAAUGUUGAUUCUUCCUGAAGAAACAAUGAAAUAAAAGCAAGAAAUUAUCACCUUCCAUCGUGUUUUUGCAACUUCCUAAUAUAAUUCGAAUCUUCUUUAUCACUUCUGUAUUGUUUAAACCCUUAAACCAUGUUAAUCCUCUAAAAUCAAAUGAUGGUGAGUGGUUUUCAUUAUUAAUACAUAUUUUGCCUUUACUUCCAUGUAUCCAUUCAUUAUACAUCUUUCCGAGGUGUAUACAAAUUAUGUAGGGUUACAAGUACAACCAUUCUUAAAAUCUAGCAUAAUAAUACAUCUUUUCAUCAUAAGCUUCAAGUUAAAAAUCUGGUUUUACUCUUUUUUUUCCCCUAAAAACAAUAAGACAUUGUAAGCAUGGUAUUAGGGGAAUAACUAAUAGUAUUAGAAAUAAUACUGAUAAUAAAAUCACAUGAACAUGAAAAACAUA